CUACGGGUUGCUGCAGUGGGGAAUAUUGCACAAUGGGCGCAAGCCUGAUGCAGCCAUGCCGCGUGUAUGAAGAAGGCCUUCGGGUUGUAAAGUACUUUCAGCGGGGAGGAAGGGAGUAAAGUUAAUACCUUUGCUCAUUGACGUUACCCGCAGAAGAAGCACCGGCUAACUCCGUGCCAGCAGCCGCGGUAAUACGGAGGGUGCAAGCGUUAAUCGGAAUUACUGGGCGUAAAGCGCACGCAGGCGGUUUGUUAAGUCAGAUGUGAAAUCCCCGGGCUCAACCUGGGAACUGCAUCUGAUAAUGGCAAGCUUGAGUCUCGGAGAGGGGGGUAGAAUUCCAGGUGUAGCGGUGAAAUGCGUAGAGAUCUGGAGGAAUACCGGUGGCGAAGGCGGCCCCCUGGACGAAGACUGACGCUCAGGUGCGGAAGCGUGGGGAGCAAACAGGAUUAGAUACCCGCGUAGUC
rnacentral:rRNA from 1 species